rnacentral:lncRNA from 1 species
CACCAAAUAAUUGAAACUUGAAAGAAUACUUUUUCUGAAAUAGAAACAUAAUUCAUUUACUACAGAUUCUAGGUAUUUCCUGCAAGUAACAAUGCUACACAAGCAACUAUAGGAAUUAAGAAAAGCAUAUUUUCUUACAAAUCUAAAAUACUUCGAGUAAAUCUCAUACAUGUGAUUAGUUUUCCUCGGUAAGGUCAGAUGUCAAG